rnacentral:rRNA from 1 species
GGGAAGAGCUCAAAUUUCGAAUCUGGCGGUCUUCUGGCCGUCCGAGUUGUAAUCUAGAGAAGCGUUUUCCGCGCUGGACCGUGUAUAAGUCUCCUGGAAGGGAGCGUCGUAGAGGGUGAGAAUCCCGUCUUUGACACGGACUACCAGGGCUAUGUGAUGCGCUCUCGACGAGUCGAGUUGUUUGGGAAUGCAGCUCAAAACGGGUGGUAAAUUCCAUCUAAAGCUAAAUACAGGCGAGAGACCGAUAGCGAACAAGUACCGUGAGGGAAAGAUGAAAAGAACUUUGGAAAGAGAGUUAAACAGUACGUGAAAUUGCUGAAAGGGAAACGCUUGAUGUCAGUCGCGUCGGCCGGGGAUCAACCUUGCUUCUCGCUGGGUGUACUUCUCGGUCGACGGGUCAGCAUCGGUUUCGGUCGCCGUACAAGGGCGAGGGGAACGUGGCACUCUUCGGGGUGUGUUAUAGCCUUUCGUCGUAUGCGGCGGUCGGGACCGAGGAACUCAGCACGGCUUCGGUCUGUGCUUAGGAUGCUGGCAUAAUGGCCUUAAGCGACCCGUCUUGAAACACGGACCAAGGAGUCUAACAUGCCUGCGAGUGUUUGGGUGACAAACCCGAGCGCGCAAUGAAAGUGAAAGUUGAGACCUCUGUCGUGGAGGGCAUCGACGCCCGGACCUGAGUCUUUGACGACGGAUCUGCGGUAGAGCAUGCAUGUUGGGACCCGAAAGAUGGUGAACUAUGCCUGAAUAGGGUGAAGCCAGAGGAAACUCUGGUGGAGGCUCGUAGCGAUUCUGACGUGCAAAUCGAUCGUCGAAUUYGGGUAUAGGGGCGARAGACUA